rnacentral:rRNA from 1 species
ACGGAAGGCAGCAGUGGGGAAUUUUGCGCAAUGGGGGCAACCCUGACGCAGCAACGCCGCGUGCGGGAUGAAGGCUUUCGGGUUGUAAACCGCUUUCAGCAGGGAAGAAAUUGACGGUACCUGCAGAAGAAGCUCCGGCUAACUACGUGCCAGCAGCCGCGGUAAUACGUAGGGAGCGAGCGUUAUCCGGAUUCAUUGGGCGUAAAGCGCGCGUAGGCGGAUGCCUAAGCGGGACCUCUAAUCUUGGGGCUCAACCUCAAGCCGGGUCCCGAACUGGGUGUCUCGAGUGCGGUAGAGGCAGGCGGAAUUCCAUGUGUAGCGGUGAAAUGCGCAGAUAUAUGGAAGAACACCGAUGGCGAAGGCAGCCUGCUGGGCCGAUACUGACGCUGAGGCGCGAAAGCUGGGGGAGCAAACAGGAUUAGAUACCCUGGUA